ensembl:lncRNA
GGAGUGCAUUCUGCCUAGAUUUUAGAGCUUGAGCAUUUUGGCAAGAUGUUGGUCUGCAUUUUUUCCAGAUGUUUAAGUAUCCUCCAUCUGCUGCUUUCAGUAGGAUUUGGAUGAGAAGAGUCUAUUGGUUAGGCUUGGAUACAGCUGUUUGCUUUCUUCCUAGAAUCUGAGUGUUAAAAUCCAGAGGGUCCUAACUUUUGUUCCUAUAAGGAAUUUCUCUCCCUCUGAAGUAAAGUGCAUGAAGAAAACAAGGAGGAUGACUCAUAAUAGGCUUCCUUUCUUCAUCUACAAUGCCCGAUACCUGUCCUUCAUUUAUCCUUUUUCUACACUGUGUCCUUAUUUCUGAGGCCAUGAGACUUCAGGGAGGUCUUGAUCUUUUUAGUGUUUUGGUUAACCUUCCUGUAUGGGGUAGGGGACAAAUACACAGAAAAGAAAACCAAAAGUUAUCAUCCCACAUUGCUGUAGUUAAGCAGCAGGUCAGGGCUUCCUCUUUGGCCUGCCCUGACAUUCUGAGCAGGACCUCAGUGCACAGUAGCCUAAAACUCACCACUCCAUAGGCUGGGAGCCUUCUACUUUAACCCUCUCCUAGGUAACUAUUCUUAUUGGGUUCAAGAAGAGCUGUAAAACAAAUGCAGCAAGACUUUGCAUCAGUGUUGCUCCCCCCAUGCUUAACAUCUCCUUGUGGUAGUUUUAUAAUUCUUAGGAGUAGAUGAUUUAUCCUUUCUGCAUAACAAGUGCCUUACUUUGCAAUACUUCUUUUGGACCCCGACAUAUGUACUGUACAGAGCUUUCCAUUUCUUUCUGCUAACAUGACUCUGGUCUGUGUGCCUUGGGACAUUGUACCCAGGAGUGGCCACCCAUAAAAGGAACACAACACAUGACAGUCUUGCUUCCUUGGUCUCUGUGCCUUUACCUUAUUUCCAUUGUUCUCCUAGUAUACUUUUGGCCUUAUUUAUUGGCUUUUGCCUCAGUUGAUUUUAGACUUUUUCAUAUCAGGUGAAGCAAGGCAGCUUCUCUAGGUAUGGAUGUAGACUGGGGUGGCAGGCCUGCCAGUAGCAAGCAGUGCUCAGACACUUCUUAUGGCCUCAUACUUCAUCCCACAUCCUUCCUCCCCACUCAUCCCAUGAACCAUACCUAUUCUUCUUUCUCUUGUCCCUUCCCAGAGAAAUCUCUUUCUGAGUCUUCAUUCAACCCAAAGUCUAUAAUCUGGAGCUUACUCUUCCUUCCAGACUCGUGUUAAUUCUUAGACGUAGAUGCCUGUUUUGCAGAAAGCCAGGUCAGUGUGGUCCCUUGUCAUAAAAAUAUUGUAUUUAGUUCAUAAUUCAGUGUUAUUCAUGUGUUGCCAGAAGUUCCCCUUUCCCCCCCACUUCUUCCGGGUUGUGCAAUAACUCUCCUAGAACUCGUUAGUUUCUAUAGUUCCUUCUGUCCAUUAUGAAGCCCUGGAAGUUGGGAAGAGAUGGGACACAUAGGAGGAACCAUCAUCCUUCAAUGGAGAAAUUCCAGCUAUUUCCUUUCUAGCUGUAAUUCUCCUUGUCCUAGAUAGGUUUCUGUGGCUCUGCGUUAGAACAUGUAGCAUAAUGUAGAAAUACAUAUUUAAAAAAAAAAAAAAAAUUGUUGAAAAAGAAUCUUCAUGAUGGGGCAUUAAUGUGUUCAGUUUUGAAUAUGACAUUUGGGAGUAAGAUUUUGGCA